AGAGGAAGAAACAGUUGGAACAGCCAAAGAAGCCGAGCUACUACUAGCGCUACCAUCAAUUGAUGAGCGACGAAGCAACGACGUUACAAAUGUAGAAGACGAAGUGGGCGAAGCCAAUAGGGUUGAGACUCCCGAGUUAAGGCCACUCUUGGAAGUAGCAAUGUAGGCAUUUGAAAUAAUGCUCGCCAAGGAGGACUGUACCACCGAGUACGAAGAAACUGCAGAAGAGUCCAUAGACGACGUUGAGAUUGAUGAUACAACGUUGCUUGAAGAAGUGAUAGGAGAUGUAGCUAUAGAAGACUCCGCACUUGAUGUUGCUGUAGCAGAUGCCGAGGAAGAACUAGAAGCCAUCUCUUCACUAUAAUCAACAACAACAAUUUUAGCAGUGGUGCCUUGCUGAAACCCUACCACACAAAAGCAAGCGCCUCCAGCACCAAUGGGACUUCCCUCUGGACAACCUUGAACACCAUUUUCGCGAGGAUCGACAUAGCAAGGUAAGCCAGAGCAGGUAUCACCUUCACACUCGAGUGCCAAACCAUAUGUAGGUUUCACAGUUGACCAGUAAGAAUCAUCGAGGUAGAUUGGGUUCGCACCCAACUUAACAUAGGUAAUGUUAUUUUCAUCCAUGUUUGCACCAGCAACGUAAGGAGCCCAGUUUCCAUAAGGAUUCGCAGAAGUACCCCAAACACAACCAUCAGUGGUAGAUACGCCAGGUGGAUUU